GUAUUUAUGUACAAUUUGAGAAACAAGGGUUAUGUGUGCUUUUUUUCUUCCUUUAGAUAGCAACUUGUCACAAUCGCAAUAUUUCAUUCAUAUGGAGACGUCACCAUUUGACAGUGAAGCGCUGCAAAAUCCAGGCCUAUGUUCGGCUCUUAUGACCUUUCAGCAGGGAGGUAUCUAUAUCGUGCUACACCUGCUGUGACACAAGGCCUCGGUUUUCGCGGUCUCAUCCGAAGGACCGCUCCAUCUAGUGGCCUCUUACGACAAGUACUUUUGAACAUUUAGACAGCCCGACACAGGUAACCCCACUCAUGUUGAAAGUUCCACAUGGAUUCUUCAUUAUGAUGCUAUAGGGGAUGCUCAACUUUGUUUGGCCAGAGAAAGGUGAAGCUGUUCAGGAAAUGCUCACAAGAUAUAGGCGGAAUUACGGGGAAUAUAUCCAUACAAAAUUACAUAGAUUUCUUUGCUUUCUUUCUGAGUAAAAAAAUAUGUUUUCAUUUACGCAGUAUAAAUCAUCCUAAGUAGCAAUGUCUCAUAAUAGGAAUUUGCAAAUCUGUAAGCCAUUAGAAUCACUUCACUUAUUUUGAGUUUGGUGUUAGCUGAACUUUAUUUCAAAAAGAACUUCAUAAACCCCAGGUAUUUUUGUUUUGUUUUUGUUUUAACGAAAAUUCUUUUUAAACACAAUUAAAUAUGAUUUCAUUGCAUAGGCCCUUCUAUGCUAAUUAUUUUCCUAGUGAUCCGGGAACCUGAAUGAGAACGAAGUAUUUUGUGAAUGUUUUGGGGGGUAUUGUAUGCUGGUAUUCAAUGAGUAUGUGAUCUGAUGGAUAUGAGCUUUCUUUAUACUGAAUGUACAUGCAUGUUUAUGAAAUAUGUAUGUGGCCCUUCCUAUUCUUCCUCUAUUUGAAGAGCUAAAUUAAAGGAUUCAUUUUACUUGCUUCGUAAGCAUUUGAUUGAUAUAAUCAAAAAAUCAUUAUAUUGCUUAAUAUUCUAAUGCGUAAAAAUCAUUAUAUUGCUUAAUAUUCUAAUGCGUAAAAAUCAAUCUGGGAAGAAAUAAAGAAUAAAACUGCUAUUCAAAUAUGCAUCUAAAUUACAAUUGCGUUUGUUUUGAUUCCAAAUAUUCACCAAUGUCAUUCAAUAAUUCCUAUAUAUAUAUAUACAUUGUACCUACAUGUUAAUGAAAUAUCUAGUUGGCCAAUACAACCUAUCAUUGGGUCAAGUGCUGUCUGACGUGCUUCCCACCAAUUAUUAGGCCAUUCUUGAUACAGUUAUUUUGGCUAAGGAUUACUCCGUUUACUUGAUCAAGAUAUAGGGCUCCCGGCGGUUGUGAACGGUGGACAGGGGGUGCUUACUCCUCCUAGGCACGUGAUCCCCCUCUGGUAUAUCCAGGGGUCCGUGUUUGCCCAACUCUCUUGCGUAUCAAAUCAGUUGCAUUCUGUAAACUCAAAAAUAAACGCUACUCAACAAAUUCUUAACGCUAUGCAAAUGAUUUGAAAUAUUUGAGCUGAAGCCUAGAGUACCUUGAUAAAUGUCUAAGAUGACAUUUCGCCGAGAGUCUUUUUGAAACGUAAUAUUUGAAGGGUUUGUGAGAAAUGUGAUGGAUCACAAACACUUGAUUGGGGAGACGAUGGUUUAAUCGUAACUAAAAACUGGAAUUUAUGACAAGUAAAGAAUUAAAAACAAUCAAGUGGAAUACGGUUUUUUUUAAAUUAAAAGUUCAGUCAAACAAGGAAAUAUGAAAACAACAUAAUGCGAAAGGUAAUGGAUGAUAGAGAUAUUAAAAGUUAGAAUUGUUACUCGGGAUCCACGUACAUGGUGCAUUAUUCCUCUCAGUCGCGAUUUGUGUCACAGAAGUUUAUCAGAGCAGUCAAACUGUUUGUACACUUAUACAUGUACAUCUUCAUCGAUGACAUACAUGUAUGUUUGAAAUGCCGUCAAAUCAAUAUAAAACAGCAAACCAUUAAACAUUCUUUCUUUAAAAAGAAAAUCCAUAUUUUGGUUAGCCAACAGGAUAGGAAAUCAAAUGUUUGUGUGGUUUUUUUUCAUAUAAACUUUCCAAACAUGUUCAAUGUUACUAAGGAAAUGAGAGAGAUAUCAUAUUUAACAAGGGUGUAUUGAUGAUAUACAAUCCUUUACAUUAUAUUCCACAUCAAAGUACUAGUCCACCUCUC